GAAAUGCACGGUUGGCACACAGCUUUCCAUGAGAACUCUCCGGCCUCACUUCAGAAGCACAGACUCUACCUGACUGCCCUGCAUUACAAUGAAAAUACUGACUGACCACAGGCAACAUCUACAGGUGGAGAGCUGCUGUACAGUCAACCUCCCCAAAUCUAAGCAUGGAGAAUAAACUGCAAAGCCUGUGAAAGCAGAGCCAACAUUCCGCAAGUUUUACAAUCUUUUAUUUGAACCCCACGAAUACAAAAUAAAGAUGGACACACAGGCAAUAACACAAACGUUUGAAAAUGUAAGAGCCAAUUAAGGGUUAAUUCAUGUGUGAUAAUAAUUUAGUUAAAAAUGUGAAAAUACAGUGAAGAUAAUUUCAUAAGAAUUCAUGAUGAUUUUAUUUUCUAAAAUGCCUAAUUUAAUGUUAAAAAUGUAAAGAACUUUUACUGUGAAAAGUAUUUUGGCUUCCAACAGUAAUGUACGUCAAUACGUCAUUUUUGUCAUUGCAUGCACGUUAAGGUCAGAUGCAGCUAGAGAUGUUGGAAGCAACACAGUUUUUUGACCGAGCGUACCGAGCAUAUGUACCGUCUAUUUUUGUGUUUUUUCAGUAAACCUUUAAAAAGAAGAAUUGGUUUCACUCGCGUUAUUCAAAUACUGGUUGUUAGACUAGCAGCAAAGUGGUACAAAAGGAACUAGAAGAAACGGAGUGCCACUACAGAAAAUAAACACAAAAUCUGAAUGUUUUUUUUUAUGGUUUUCAAAAUAAUAAAUAAGGAGAACGUAUAAAUUAGGAGAAAUACGAAGAGACACUUGACAACACUGCAGCACAAGGCUUUUUGUUUCUAGUGCAUUUUCUUGUAAACAUUAAUUUUUGUUUAUUGCACUGCAGACUACAUUGAUGCACUAUUGGACCUGAUCUUCAAGAAGGUUUUCCAGGACCCUGGCCCAUAUGUGAACAAGGUGCUGAAACUUACAAUCCCUGAAGACCUCUCGGCUCAGUAUGAAAGACCCAACAAGCUGGACGUUAUAGCCAGUUACCUGCCAAGGUUCAAUCAAGGACAGGACUGAACCUAACGUACUGUCCUUCAGCGUCGGGGAACUGUGCACGAAUCCUCAGCACCACACAGGCAGGCAGCACAGCUCUCACUCUUCGCCCCAGAAAGCACCAGCACCAGCACCAGCUUACAAAGCUUCUGUAGGCUAGGUAUCUAUAUUGCCUGGACACAAAUCAGUAGAAAGUCAGCACUGAAUGUUCACAUCCAUGGCAACUGCAAAGUUUAACCGUUCCACUUUAGAUAUUUAUUUUGUAUGUCUACAAUUGUUUCUUGCAAUAAAACAUCUCUCCCAACUGU